rnacentral:rRNA from 1 species
AAAACCCCGCAAGGGGUUAGUAGAGUGGCGAACGGGUGAGUAACACGUGGGUGACCUACCUUCGAAUGGGGGAUAACGUCCCGAAAGGGACGCUAAUACCGCAUAACAUCCUGCCUUUGAACAGGUGGAGAUCAAAGCCGGGGAUCGCAAGACCUGGCGUUUGAAGAGGGGCCCGCGUCUGAUUAGCUAGUUGGCGAGGUAACGGCCCACCAAGGCGACGAUCAGUAUCCGGCCUGAGAGGGCGGACGGACACACUGGGACUGAGACACGGCCCAGACUCCUACGGGAGGCAGCAGUGGGGAAUUGUUCGCAAUGGGCGCAAGCCUGACGACGCAACGCCGCGUGGAGGAUGAAGGUCUUCGGACUGUAAACUCCUGUUGCCCGGGACGAAAAGCUUCGACCUAACACGUCGAAGUCUGACGGUACCGGGUGAGGAAGCCCCGGCUAACUCUGUGCCAGCAGCCGCGGUAAUACAGAGGGGGCAAGCGUUGUUCGGAAUUACUGGGCGUAAAGGGCGCGUAGGCGGCCUUCUAAGUCGAACGUGAAAUCCCCGGGCUCAACCCGGGAACUGCGUCCGAUACUGGAAGGCUUGAAUCCGGGAGAGGGAUGCGGAAUUCCAGGUGUAGCGGUGAAAUGCGUAGAUAUCUGGAGGAACACCGGUGGCGAAGGCGGCAUCCUGGACCGGCAUUGACGCUGAGGCGCGAAAGCCAGGGGAGCAAACGGGAUUAGAUACCCCGGUAGUCCUGGCCCUAAACGAUGAAUGCUUGGUGUGGCGGGUAUCGA